CAGAAGCCCUCGGACUGCCCGGACCGCGCGAUGGAGUCGACCGGCAGCGUCGGGGAGGCCCCGGGCGGACCCCGGGUGCUGGUGGUGGGCGGCGGCAUCGCGGGGCUGGGCGCGGCGCAGAGGCUCUGCGGCCACUCCGCCUUCCCGCACCUGCGGGUCCUGGAGGCCACGGCCCGCGCCGGGGGCCGCAUCCGCUCGGAGCGCUGCUUCGGGGCUAUCAAGGACUCACAAACUGCAUGAUGGCCGCCCUGCCGGAGGACACUGUAGUUUUUGAGAAGCCUGUGAAGACCAUCCACUGGAACGGGUCCUUCCAGGAGGCAGCCUUUCCCGGGGAGACCUUUCCAGUGUCGGUAGAGUGUGAGGAUGGAGACCGGUUCCCGGCGCACCAUGUCAUCGUCACCGUGCCCUUAGGUCUGUCCACGUUCUCUGUGGGUUCAUUGCCGGACUUGAGUCUGAGUUCAUGGAGACUCUGUCGGAUGAAGAAGUACUUCUGUGUCUCACCCAAGUGCUCCGGAGAGUGACAGCUCCAGAUCCUGUUUGCGGGGGAAGCCACACAUCGCACGUUUUACUCCACGACGCACGGGGCUCUGCUGUCGGGAUGGAGGGAGGCCGACCGCCUCCUCAGUCUGUGGGCCCCGCAGGUGCAGCAGCCCAGGCCCAGGCUCUAGCUGGGCCCAGCCUACUCUGUUCCACCCGUGUCGGGGGUAGGCUGGGACCCUCAUUUCUUCUGACAGAUUUCAGUCUGGCUUGAAAUUUGGGGAUGUUAAUGAGGGUCCUCUGGUUUUUGGUAACCAGGGCCACCUUCUCAGUUCUUGUGUCUGUUAUUGGAGUCUGGCC
rnacentral:lncRNA from 1 species